AUAAAAACAAAAUGAUUUUGUUACUGGCUUUUACGACCUUAAUUCUCUCAGUUUAUGGACAACAAUGCCCUAAUGGAUAUCAACAGCAUGAACAGUCCUGUUACGCUGUAGUAACUUUCAGAUCCAGUUGGGUUGAUGCUGAGACAAUGUGUCAAGCAGCUGGUAGUCACCUGGCUUCUAUUGAAACAGACGCAGAACGACUUUAUCUCAACCAAUAUAUUAAUUUUUCACACGGUGAUGCCUACAGAUAUUACUGGGUUGGUGCUUUCAACUUUAUUGAUGGUACCUACAUGUGGGUUGGAACCCAGAAAGGAUUAGGCAAUGUAUCUUGGAAGGCUGGAGAACCAACAAACCGACCAGGGGAACAUUGUUUAGUGAUGGUACAAGAUGAAAAUUCUUUGUUGGCUGAUCUGGGUUGUGAUUCAGUCGAAGCAUUUGUCUGUGAACUCGAGUUAACUUCACCAAUAUUAGGCUAAUACCAACACGAAUUUCUAUGGUCCUUUGAUGCUUGAAAAUAAAACGAUUCCAGUGAUUAUAAGAAAA